UACGAAGGGGGCUAGCGUUGCUCGGAAUCACUGGGCGUAAAGGGUGCGUAGGCGGGUUUUUAAGUCAGGGGUGAAAUCCUGGAGCUCAACUCCAGAACUGCCUUUGAUACUGAAGAUCUUGAGUCCGGGAGAGGUGAGUGGAACUGCGAGUGUAGAGGUGAAAUUCGUAGAUAUUCGCAAGAACACCAGUGGCGAAGGCGGCUCACUGGCCCGGUACUGACGCUGAGGCACGAAAGCGUGGGGAGCAAUCCGG
rnacentral:rRNA from 1 species